UUUUUUUUGUUUCCUAAUUCUAGAUCAAGCAGAUAAGAAAAUGGGUCCGUACGGUGUUCAUGACUUAGAUGCAGAUUAAAGGACUGAAAUGCAAGAUAAGUUUAAGAAGGUGUAGUUGUUAGAUCUAUAUGUACACAUUCAAAGGUGGGAAGUAAGCAGGCAUCAACAGAGUUCAAUAGGUGUAAAUUUGUGCAAUGAACCAAAAAUUCUUAGGUAAAGUAUAAAUUUUCAGUUUCAAGCAGUGUUUAUGGUACCUUGAUUGUCGAAUGUUUGCUUCCUUUUGCUUCCUAUUAUUGUAGAAGCAACUAUUUUCCUCAUAUCUGAGCUGUUAUUGUUUAUGUUCCUGUGUUUGUUGUGAUUUUAUUUGUAUUAGAAAUAGUUGUAUUCAAAUAGGUUAAGCUUUUAUUGGGUUUUUAGCAUUUAAGAGUGCAGUGUAAUAGUAAUGAUGAAAAGCAAUGAUAUGACUCUUCAUUUUUUAUUGGAAAACAACAAAGCCAAUUAGUUUU